UCUCAUUAGGUAGUUGGAGAAUUAAGUUUUCUGAAAGAAAAGAACAACAUAAAAAGAUGCCAUUUAAUUUUAACACAAAUAUCAAGGAUCUUAUAGAGCUAGAACAAUAUAGAUGCCUUUGACGACCUGAUAAGUUCUGUGUUGACAUAACCAAGGUUGUCAAAUUCUCUCAAGUCAACUCAAUUCUACGAUUCUAUGCAAGAGAAUUGAGUUAGCUCUCAAACAGGGUGUAACACCUGCGUGAGUUAACUAACGCAGAAUUUUACACUUGCGCUAGUUAAUUAGCGCAAGGGUAUUUUAGUCAGUUUAGUUGGGUGGAAGCAAAACUUGUUGGGAGAAGAGCAGAAUUCAACUUUGACGCGUGAUAUUAGUAAAUGGAUGGGUUGAUUUUAUUUUUUUUAUGCUAAAAGUUUUGUUGAUUUUCAGAUUGUGAAUUUUCAAAUUUCCCUUUUGGUUCGUAUUACUUUGAAGCCAUUGGUUUCUAUCUUUCCUUAUUUUGCCAACAUCCAUGUCUCUCUCAUGGAAGAGCCAAAUGUUGACUUUGACAUACUUUGUGAUGAGGAUGAUGAUAAUAUUAUGGAUCUUCCUGGAACACACUUUCUUUAUGCGGUAAAAGACUUUAAUCUUUUAAUAUGUUUGUUUGAUCGCCCUUCCUAUCUAAUGUUUGAGGUCUAAAUUUGGAGUACUAUAUUGAAGAAAAGUGUUUGUGGCCCAAAUUCCUGAAAAUUCAAAUGAUAGAUAUGACAAAAGCUUUGAAGAUGGCCGAUGAAGCUUUUGAAGAGACACACAGACACAAACAAUACCAAUAGCUCCCGUAAGCACUCCUCAAGCUGAUGGAGGUUUGCUUGUAGUUAUAGUACGUGCAGUUAAAGGUCUUCAAGGGAAGUAUAACAUUAAUCCACGUGUAUGUUUCAUUUUCAGAGGAGAAGAGGAAAAGACCAAGGUUGCAUGCAUAGAAUCUCACGUUAGGUGAUAUAUAUCUAGGCAUGUGUGGAUUUUGGAGUAGGAAGCUCUGCUAAUUAAACGGUGUUUACUUUUGCAGCUAAUAAUGAAGAACACAGAUCGAAGAUGGAAAGAGGUCCAAUUUACAGCGAAGGAGCCGCCUACCGAAAAUGAUGUCUUAAAUGUGGAGGUGGUUGACAUCACUUCAUCAAAUAAUCCAUUGCAACAAAAGGAAUCAUUGGGUUAUGUCAACAUCCAUCUUGGGGAUGUUGUUUCCAAAAAGAGCAUUAAUGAGAAGUAUCAUCUUGAAAACUCCAAAAAUGGUUGGAUCCAGAUAGAGUUGCAGUAGAGAACUUCUUCAGAGUCAGAAGCAAGAUGUCAAAAUUUAAACUAUAAAUAAGAGCUUUACAUAAUUGAGCAAGCAGCUCUGUUUUAUCAAUUAUACUCUUAAUACUCUUAA